rnacentral:tRNA from 1 species
GUAGGCAUAGUUUUAAAAAAACGCUAGAUUGUGAUUCUAGAGAUAGAGGUUGAAAUCCUCUUACCCACC